GUGAGGAAUAUUGCGCAAUGGAGGCAACUCUGACGCAGCCAUGCCGCGUGCAGGAAGAAGGCGCUACGCGUUGUAAACUGCUUUUAACCGGGAAGAAACCCCAGGACGUGUCCUGGGUUGACGGUACCGGAGGAAUAAGCACCGGCUAACUUCGUGCCAGCAGCCGCGGUAAUACGAAGGGUGCAAGAGUUAUCCGGAUUCACUGGGUUUAAAGGGUGCGUAGGCGGAGCGUUAAGUCAGUGGUGAAAUCCUGCAGCUUAACUGUAGACUUGCUAUUGAUACUGGCGCUCUUGAGUGCGCUUGAAGUGGGCGGAAUGUGCCGUGUAGCGGUGAAAUGCUUAUAUAUGGCACAGAACACCAAUUGCGAAGGCAGCUCACUAAGGCGAUACUGACGCUGAGGCACGAAAGCGUGGGGAUCGAACAGGAUUAGAAACCCUGGUAGUCC
rnacentral:rRNA from 1 species